rnacentral:rRNA from 1 species
UACAGAGGUCUCAAGCGUUGUUCGGAUUCAUUGGGCGUAAAGGGUGCGUAGGCGGCGCGGUAAGUCGGGUGUGAAGUAUCGUGAGCUUAACUCCGAAACUGCAUUCGAUACUGCCGUGCUUGAGGACUGGAGAGGAGACUGGAAUUUACGGUGUAGCGGUGAAAUGCGUAGAUAUCGUAAGGAAGACCAGUGGCGAAGGCGGGUCUCUGGACAGUUCCUGACGCUGAGGCACGAAGGCCAGGGAGCAAACGGG